rnacentral:rRNA from 1 species
UGCAUCUAGAUUAGACUUUGAUCCUGGCUCAGAGCGAACGCUGGCGGCGUGCCUAACACAUGCAAGUCGAACGUGAAAGUCCGCAAGGAUGAGUAAAGUGGCGUACGGGUGAGUAACACGUAGGUAAUCUACCGAAGAGUCUGGAAUAACCUGCCGAAAGGCGGGCUAAUACUGGAUAGAGCGACGGGAUCCGUAAUUGGGUCUUUCGGGAAAGGGAGGAAGCAAUUCCCCUUGCUCUUCGAUGAGCCUGCGUCUCAUUAGCUAGUUGGCGGGGUAAUGGCCCACCAAGGCUUUGAUGAGUAGCUGGUCUGAGAGGAUGAUCAGCCACACUGGAACUGAAACACGGUCCAGACUCCUACGGGAGGCAGCAGUGGGGAAUCUUGCGCAAUGGACGAANGUCUGACGCAGCCACGCCGNGUGAGUGAAGAAGGUCUUCGGGUUGUAAAGCUCUGUCUGGCGGGACGAACAUCCAUGAGGUGAAUAACCUCGUGGACUGACGGUA